CCAAGUCAUCUUAGUCAUCUUGAGAUGGAACCAAGGGACUUUCGAGUUACACCACAGCCUACCCCCCUCACCAAUUGUCCCAACUGAUACGCCCAUCCGGCUCGACGCAAGUCGUGAAGUCACAGGAGUGACUUCUGGCCAAACAUCAGGAUCAAUUCAGAUCCUACCGGGCAAUUCGCGUGAGAAACUACCGAUGGCGUAGAUCCUGUGCUGCAGGCCAGUUUUCCACUGACCAGCCAUGUGGAAUUGACAUCUUCAGCCAAACUACAGCCAGGAUUAAUAUCAGACUCCUUAACAGCAAGGGCAAAUUGGUGCUGCAUUUGUCCCCUGAGCUAUCGGCAAGAUUUCUAUAGCAUGCUGUACGAUGUUUUCUUCGCCUGCUUGAUAGUCCCAGAAACUGCCGAUGGCAUAGAUCCUGUGCUGCAGGCCAGUUUUCCAGCCAUGUGGAAUUGACAUCUUCAGCCAAACUACAGCCAGGAUUAAUAUCAGACUCCUAAACAGCAAGGGCAAAUUGGUGCUGCAUUUGUCCCCUGAGCUAUCGGCAAGAUUUCUAAAGCAUGUUGUACGAUGUUUUCUUCGCCUGCUUGAUAAUCCCAGAAGCCUCGCGCCAGUGCUUGACAGACCAGCUGAUGAACAGACCAUUUGUCAACUGUCUCAAGAAUGAUAACUUCACGAAGCGCUGUCUCGUGCAGCUCCAGCAAAACCUAGAAAAUUCCGGGCGUGCCUGACCCAUGAAACCCUGGCAUCAACAGUGAGAGUGAACGUGGAAAGUGGUGGGCUUAGAGGAAUUGUGGGGUAUGGAUGGGAGGGGGAUAGGAGAGGUUAUUUGGGAGUGUCCAAGGAUAUGUAGGGGAAGAGGGGGGAAAUUGGGUGAUAACUUAAAGGGUAGGCCUAAACCUUGACGCCCUUGCAUGCCACUGCACGCAGUGAUAAGGAAUAUGAAAGCAUGAGGGGGGUUAAGAGUAAGUAUAGGGGGAUGGAAGGGUGUGGGAGAUAUAUGUGGGAGGAUGUUGCGGUGCUGCACCAUUAGUGAGGGGAAAUCUGCUCAAGGUAUAGGGUAUGUUGUGGAAGGAUGAAUAGUUGUUUGAAUAGUGAGGGUGUGUCUCACUCGUGAAUCAGGGCUUGUGUCUGCAUCAACACUAAAAAUGGGGAAAAAACUGGGGUUGGGAGAUGUUUUUAUAGGAUAAAAAUCAAAUUCUUGCUGUAUGGCAAGGGAGUGAAAUACUGCUAGAUUUAAGAAAGUAUUAAAUACAUUAAUUCCCACCUCAGAGCACCCUCUUAAAUGAACAUUACACAAACAACGUAGGGAAAUAUAAAUGAAUUGAAAGAAUUCUUAUAAAAUGAUCUUUGGUUGACAUUCUAUGUCAAAACAAUUGGCUUCUGUUGAAAAUUGUUUAGUACUGCAAUUGAUGUAAUAUUUUGUUUAUGUAUGUUUGAUAUGGCAUAAACAUUGACAAUAAGACAUUGAAUUGCUGUAAUCUAUUUUUUGUCAAUAAAAGUUUUAAUGUC